GUUAUAUGGUCAAGUGAAGAAGCGCAUACGGUGGAUGCCUUGGCAGUCAGAGGCGAUGAAAGACGUGGUAGCCUGCGAUAAGCUUCGGGGAGUCGGCAAACAGACUUUGAUCCGGAGAUCUCUGAAUGGGGGAACCCAACCAGCACAAGCUGGUUAUCUUGCACUGAAUACAUAGGUGCCAGAAGCGAACCAGGGGAACUGAAACAUCUAAGUACCCUGAGGAAAAGAAAUCAACCGAGAUUCCCUUAGUAGUGGCGAGCGAACGGGGACUAGCCCUUAAGUGGCUUUGAGAUUAGCGGAACGCUCUGGAAAGUGCGGCCAUAGUGGGUGAUAGCCCUGUACGCGAAAAUCUCUUGGCCAUGAAAUCGAGUAGGACGGAGCACGAGAAACUUUGUCUGAAUAUGGGGGGACCAUCCUCCAAGGCUAAAUACUACUGACUGACCGAUAGUGAACCAGUACCGUGAGGGAAAGGCGAAAAGAACCCCGGAGAGGGGAGUGAAAUAGAUCCUGAAACCGUAUGCGUACAAGCAGUGGGAGCAGACUUCGUUCUGUGACUGCGUACCUUUUGUAUAAUGGGUCAGCGACUUAUUUUCAGUGGCGAGCUUAACCGAAUAGGGGAGGCGUAGCGAAAGCGAGUCUUAAUAGGGCGUCUAGUCGCUGGGAAUAGACCCGAAACCGGGCGAUCUAUCCAUGGGCAGGUUGAAGGUUAGGUAACACUGACUGGAGGACCGAACCGACUACCGUUGAAAAGUUAGCGGAUGACCUGUGGAUCGGAGUGAAAGGCUAAUCAAGCUCGGAGAUAGCUGGUUCUCCUCGAAAGCUAUUUAGGUAGCGCCUCAUGUAUCACUGUAGGGGGUAGAGCACUGUUUCGGCUAGGGGGUCAUCCCGACUUACCAAACCGAUGCAAACUCCGAAUACCUACAAGUGCCGAGCAUGGGAGACACACGGCGGGUGCUAACGUCCGUCGUGAAAAGGGAAACAACCCAGACCGUCAGCUAAGGUCCCAAAGUUAUGGUUAAGUGGGAAACGAUGUGGGAAGGCUUAGACAGCUAGGAGGUUGGCUUAGAAGCAGCCACCCUUUAAAGAAAGCGUAAUAG
rnacentral:rRNA from 1 species